GAAACUGUGUGCCUCUCUGUUAAGUGGUUCCUAGCCAGGAUGGUCAUCUUUGAUUCUGAUUUAGGAGAUCUGCCAUGGAGCCUGGAAAUCUCUACUAGUGAGUUAGGCUGUUCCGCAGUUAUAGUUCUACAGUACCAGAUAGUCUUGUUUUCUUAACUUAGAGAAAAGUAUAAGCAGGCCUGACUUAACUUCUGAUCAUUUCCUUAGGAUGCCAAGUUGUUUGUGCCCAUGUUAUUGACUCCUGCCAGCAAAUAAGCACUAACCUGGAAGCCCUCCUCUGUAGAUCUGCUUGCUAAUGCUCUGGAUUGCUCCUGACUGAUGUGCCUUGUCACUUGUGCCUGACACGCCUGGGAUUCCUUCUGCUGGGGAUCUGUAAUAAGGUGGCGAGCUGAGUAACUCCUUGCUCCUGGGAAGCUUCUUAUUUCUGAGGAAUGGCUCUGAAAUAAAAUGAAAAGGUAUGAAGACAAGAGGCCCCCUUUACAGACUGACCUUGUCAGAG